rfam:Yersinia mollaretii ATCC 43969 contig01600, whole genome shotgun sequence.
GAGAAACUGAAAAAUUAUGUUCUACUCAACCCGCCUACUCAGCCUACUACUAAACGCAUCUCACUUGCGCGGUAUGUUGGUGGACGGAAAUCAGAACUGAUUCAGUCAUCAAGAUUAACAAGCCCGCGCAAAUGCGCGGGUUUUUUU